CCUUCUCCCUUCCUCGUUUUCCUUGGGGCGCAAGGCAAUGGCUGUAGCGGGGGAAGCUCUGAAUCUAGGCUUCCCGUGGCCCCUGCUUGGGCACCUGGGCGCUCUGAAGCCCUUCUAGCUGGACCUCAGUGGUACCCUCUGUCAUUCCGGGACCACAGACUUCUCCAGGUGGGAGAAAAGUGCUUUGUAAUCCUUAAACUCUGGAGUGAAGCGGUAGAAGACGACAGGAGGGAGACCAGUGAGGGCCACCCGAAGCUCUGCUGGCGGAUUUAGUCUGGAGGGUCGGGAAAUUUACCAACAUUCCGCAUGGCUGCACUGGGGAGGCAGAGCCACACACCUGGUGCCAGCUUCCCUGGGCUCCCAGCUUCCUCCACCCCUCCUGCUCCAUCCAGACCCCAGGAGGCCAUUUAUUAUCAAGGACAAAGAGAAGCUUCAGAUUCUGGAGUGAUGCAAGAGGGGAAAAGGAUCAAAGGCGACUCCAGGGGCCCAGCCUGCCCAGCCCAGAGUCUGAGGCAUCCUGCCAGAGGCAGCGAGACCAACAUUGACGACCAGCCUCCGGGCCCAUCCAUGAGGAGGCCAGGCUUGGAGGGCCUCCCCUUGGUGAAGCCAUUGGGAGUCCCUGAGCUGCCUGGGUGGCUCCUGGACAGAGGAGGAGGAGGAGGAGAGUUAGAGAGACAGAGGCAGGGAGAGAAGUCCAGGCUCUCCCCAGAGGGGGCACAAUUGGGUCUUUCUUAAGGCCCUCCAACUCAGGUUCCCCUUCCAGUUUUGUUCCCCAGCAGCCCCCCACCCCGCCACGGGCUCGGGGUGCUCCUCCCUGACUCGGGCUCCCUCAGCAAUUGGGGCCUGGUCAGACCGGGUGCCGGGGAGGCCCUCUGGCCAGGCCUACUCCUUGGCGGUCAUGGCUUCGAAGGGCUCAGCAUGUACUCACAUCUCCACAGACAUCCACAGCUGGGACUUCUCCUCCUCAGCCCUGCCCCCCCACCUCCCACGUGUCAGCUCCCACACUCUGGGCUGGCUGGCUCCGAGGGGGAGCAGGCCCUGGGGGGCAGGGCAGACAGCCCCAAACCAAGUUGUUGUCCAGAGCACCCCAGGGCGGGAGGAAGGGAGACGAGCCCCGUCCUGAUUUGUGGGAGGGAGGUGGGGCGAUUCCAUCCUCCAGGGACCCCCCCAUGCUCAGGCCCCAUCCCCUUGGCCCCCCUCCAGGAGAGGUGACUCACAGCCUCCCCCAGGGCCCAGUUUAUGUCUGGUGAGUGGCCAAUCGAUGGAUGGAUCCUUUUCAGGAAAAUGGCCCUGGAAUCAAUUACACGAAAGCAGCAGCUCGGGGGCUGCCUUCCCUGGGUAGGCUGAGAGCAGUAAAUGGAACUGAGGGGAAGGGAGAGAGUGCUUUGGAAAUAGCCCCUGGCGACCUACGGAGGGGCCUGGCCUCCCUCCCUCUCUCCCCAUUUGCUGUCCAGUGAGGAAGGCCAGAGCUCCCACCUCCUCCGAGAUCCCCUGGGCCGAAGUGCCGCUCACAGCAGCCUCAGCCGCCGAGGCCCUCGAGGAUCCCAUCACAGAUAUGGCCCCAUCGCCCCUCUUGGUCCUCGGUGUGGAAGAUGAGAGCCAACCCAGGCCUCUCCCCGCCAGGCCGUUCUUGACUUUCCCGGCCAGGAUCCCCCCUGGAGCGCCCAGCUGGCCUGGGUCGCUGCUGCGCAGGAUUCCGGAUUACACCGAGCAGCCCCUCUGCUGGGAGGGCCAGGGUUCUGAAUGCCAGGUAGCACCCAACUGCCCAGGAAGGACCAGCAUCUCUAGUGGGAGGACCAUCAUGGCGCCACCUUGCUGCCCAGGGCGGACCAGCCCCUUGUAGCAUGCGCAGCAGACACACCCUGGUAAAACUGUGAUGGGCAGGUGGGUUGGCCCAGGGCGGAGGAGUUGAGGGGAUAUCCAUCUACCCCAGAACUCACCUAGCAAAAUGGAUGGAGGAUGACAACUCAUUGGAGAGCUUAGAACGUGGCCAGCCAUCAAAGACGCCAGGGCCAUUGCCAGUCCUCCUGACUUUGUCUUGCCACUCAUCUCUGGUGACUCUGAAGGGAGAGUGAGGCUGAAGAGUGUGGGCAGCUCUCCCUCCAUUAGACCCAAUUCACUCUCAAGUCAAGACUCACCUGGUGAAACCAUGGUCCUCUUCCAAAAUGGAGGCUGAACAACAACAGGAACAAGAAGGCUAGGAAUGCAGGACUGUGUGGAACUUCUGCAUGAGGAGUACAAAUGGAUGUCUAGGAGAAGUCUAGAAUGGAUUUUUAAAAUAAUUCUUAUCAUCCCUCCUGAUUAGAAAAAUGCAAAUCAAAACCACUCUGGGGUACCACCUCACACUACCAGAUCGGCUAAUAUGGCAGCAAAGGAAAGUGAUCUAUGUUGGAGGGGAUGUGGCAAAAUUGGAAAACUAAUGCAUUGUUGGUGGAGCUGUGAAUGGAUCCAACCAUUCUGGAAGGCAAUUUGGAACUAUGCCCAAAGGGUGCUAAAAGACUGUCUGCCCUUUGAUCCAGCCAUAGCACUGCUGGGCUUGUACCCCAAAGAGAUAAUGGACAAAAAGACUUGUACAAGAAUAUUCAUAGCUGCACUCUUUGUGGUGGCCAAAAAUGGAAAAUGAGGGGCUGCCCUUCAAUUGGGGAAUGGCUGAACACACUGUGGUAUAUGUUGGUGAUGGAAUACUAUUGUGCUAAAAGAAAUGAUGAUAAGCAAGAUGAUUGCAGAAACAGAGGGAAAGAUCUGCAGGAACUGAUGCAGAGCGAAAUAAGCAGAACCCUGAGAACGUUAUAUAGUAACAGCCAAAUUGCACGAGGAGCAACUGUGAAACCUUGGUUACUCUCAGCAAAGCAGUGAUUGAGGACCAUCCUGAAUGCCAACAGGGAAUGCUCUCCACCUCCAGAGAAGCUGUUGGAAUAAUCAUCUUUCCCAGCAGUCUAUCUUUGGUUUUUGUUUGGGGAUUUAACAAUGACCAACAUGGAAGUUUGCAUGACAAUAAAAAUAAAAUUUUAAAUCA
rnacentral:lncRNA from 1 species